AAAUUGAAGAGUUUGAUCAUGGCUCAGAUUGAACGCUGGCGGCAGGCCUAACACAUGCAAGUCGAACGGUAACAGGAAGCAGCUUGCUGCUUCGCUGACGAGUGGCGGACGGGUGAGUAAUGUCUGGGAAACUGCCUGAUGGAGGGGGAUAACUACUGGAAACGGUGGCUAAUACCGCAUAACGUCGCAAGACCAAAGAGGGGGACCUUCGGGCCUCUUGCCAUCAGAUGUGCCCAGAUGGGAUUAGCUUGUUGGUGAGGUAAUGGCUCACCAAGGCGACGAUCCCUAGCUGGUCUGAGAGGAUGACCAGCCACACUGGAACUGAGACACGGUCCAGACUCCUACGGGAGGCAGCAGUGGGGAAUAUUGCACAAUGGGCGCAAGCCUGAUGCAGCCAUGCCGCGUGUAUGAAGAAGGCCUUCGGGUUGUAAAGUACUUUCAGCGGGGAGGAAGGUGUUGUGGUUAAUAACCACAGCAAUUGACGUUACCCGCAGAAGAAGCACCGGCUAACUCCGUGCCAGCAGCCGCGGUAAUACGGAGGGUGCAAGCGUUAAUCGGAAUUACUGGGCGUAAAGCGCACGCAGGCGGUCUGUCAAGUCGGAUGUGAAAUCCCCGGGCUCAACCUGGGAACUGCAUUCGAAACUGGCAGGCUUGAGUCUUGUAGAGGGGGGUAGAAUUCCAGGUGUAGCGGUGAAAUGCGUAGAGAUCUGGAGGAAUACCGGUGGCGAAGGCGGCCCCCUGGACAAAGACUGACGCUCAGGUGCGAAAGCGUGGGGAGCAAACAGGAUUAGAUACCCUGGUAGUCCACGCCGUAAACGAUGUCUACUUGGAGGUUGUGCCCUUGAGGCGUGGCUUCCGGAGCUAACGCGUUAAGUAGACCGCCUGGGGAGUACGGCCGCAAGGUUAAAACUCAAAUGAAUUGACGGGGGCCCGCACAAGCGGUGGAGCAUGUGGUUUAAUUCGAUGCAACGCGAAGAACCUUACCUGGUCUUGACAUCCACAGAACUUUCCAGAGAUGGAUUGGUGCCUUCGGGAACUGUGAGACAGGUGCUGCAUGGCUGUCGUCAGCUCGUGUUGUGAAAUGUUGGGUUAAGUCCCGCAACGAGCGCAACCCUUAUCCUUUGUUGCCAGCGGUCCGGCCGGGAACUCAAAGGAGACUGCCAGUGAUAAACUGGAGGAAGGUGGGGAUGACGUCAAGUCAUCAUGGCCCUUACGACCAGGGCUACACACGUGCUACAAUGGCGCAUACAAAGAGAAGCGACCUCGCGAGAGCAAGCGGACCUCAUAAAGUGCGUCGUAGUCCGGAUUGGAGUCUGCAACUCGACUCCAUGAAGUCGGAAUCGCUAGUAAUCGUGGAUCAGAAUGCCACGGUGAAUACGUUCCCGGGCCUUGUACACACCGCCCGUCACACCAUGGGAGUGGGUUGCAAAAGAAGUAGGUAGCUUAACCUUCGGGAGGGCGCUUACCACUUUGUGAUUCAUGACUGGGGUGAAGUCGUAACAAGGUAACCGUAGGGGAACCUGCGGUUGGAUCACCUCCUUACCUUAAAGAA
rnacentral:rRNA from 1 species